rnacentral:rRNA from 1 species
UACGUAGGGUCCGAGCGUUGUCCGGAAUUACUGGGCGUAAAGAGCUCGUAGGUGGUUUGUCGCGUUGUCCGUGAAAACUCACAGCUCAACUGUGGGCGUGCGGGCGAUACGGGCAGACUGGAGUACUGCAGGGGAGACUGGAAUUCUUGGUGUAGCGGUGAAAUGCGUAGAUAUCAAGAGGAACACCUGAGGUGAAGACGGGUUGCUGGGCUGACACUGACGCUGACAGCGCGAAAGCUAGGGGAGCAAACGGG